UCUCACUCUCUCUCGUGUCGGCUGGUUUCGAAUUUUGCUACGACGGUGGUGGAAUCGGAGCUACCAAUCCUGGAGCAGAGAUUAAACGGUUAAGGAGCUGGCUAUCGAAUCGAGUGGGGAGAAAAGCUCGACAACGGCGGUUCCUGGAGGAAUUUCGGGAUUUCGAACGGGGAUCCUUUGCGUACGUGAUCCAGUCUACGAUCGGACGUAAAGUCGUUUAGAACGCUCGUUGCUUUUCAAUAGAUCUUCUAAACCACGCGGGGAAGAUUACAGAUUGAUCUAAGAAUCUUUUCGUUAUCGAUCCCAAACGUAUACUUCUUCAACGAUUUGCAGUGAAUCGUAUAGAAGACAGAAUCUAAGAUGCCACAGCCAGCUCACGAAACUAAAAACAUUCUAACCACUUACCUAAUCCUGAUAUUACUUUUGAUCUCUUUAUGGUUACUCUACUCGGGGAUAUUUUAAUUCCUUAGUUUUUCUCUUUGUCUAUAUCUCUCUCUGUCUCUCUCUCUCUCGUUAUGAGUUGAAACAUGAAAGACGAAGAAUGCGAGUUUCUCAAAGGCUGGACGACUUUCUCGAUCGAUACUCGGAAAUCGAGAAUGGAAAGGAUAUCGAUUAUUACACAAGAUCAAUUUUAUAUUUCCGAAUCCUUCUUGAUCUCGCUCAGAUCGGAUUCUGACCAUCACCGAUUCAUUGCAUAGAUUAAUAUUCAUUGUUUAAGUUUCAAUAAGUUAAAUAAGUUAAAGAAUUAAUCGAAACAAUCAUGUCAUCGGAAAUAAAUCUUUUUUUUUUUUCUUUCGUUUUUUUCUUUUUCUUUUCUUUUUUUUUUAUACGUACGGAGACAGGGAGCGAGUGAAAUUCUCUCUUUUUUUUUCUAUUAGAACGUAAUAUUUAUAAUUGUGCCACUUCGUAGAAUGAGUGAAAUAUUAAAAAAAAAAAAAAAAAAAAGGACAAAAGAAAAAAAAAAGGAAAAAAAUUUAAUACGAAAACGGGUAUUCGAUGUGUGUGGGUGCAAUUGAAUGAAUGUAUUCGUAGGUUCAUUGUGUUAACGUAUUCAAUGCUUGUAUAAAAGUAACGACAGUGGGUGGAAGGUAACAGACAAAUAAUUACACAUAAAACAAUGCUACGAUUUAUAGGUCAAGGAUGAAUAUUCGUAGAAUUUGAGAUCUAGAUAAUUGUGAAAUAUUUGAAUAAUCUGUAUGAAUUAUUUUAUGGGGAUAAAAUUGGAACGAAUUAAAUGUCUCGAAUAUCAUGGAAUGAUAUUUCUAUUGUUCGCAUAAAGUAACAUUUUUAUUAUCACUGUAUGCAGACAGAUAUAAUAUAUAAAUAUUUUGUAUGGAAUAAUUUGUGAAUAGAGUUUGUGAAAUUUAAUUUUAGGAUGAAAAAAGUCAAUGGCCGUGAGGAUGGAGGAAAAAUAAAAAGAAAAGAAAAGAGAAAAAUGAAAAGUAUGGGCCUUGCCAUCUGUAGAAAAUAAGUAAACGUUUGGAUUACAUGGACGAUGAACAUGGAAAGCGUGGGUGUUUAUACGAAAAUAGCCGAUGCUUUUAGUUCUCUUCUUCGGUGUUUCACUGUUUCACCACUACGUGUACCUACGUUGAUACAUAUAGAAGAGGAAAUCAGUAUUUUCUAUAGAAGAUCCGAAAAUAACUGAUGAGAAAAACGAAAGGAAUAUCAACGUUCCUCCUUUAGUCCUGUUCCAUCUAAAAAAGCAAUAAAUAAUGACCCGAUAGAAUGUUUAUUCUAUCGUUCGUUUCACAAACGAAAAUCAUUCGUUACGAGCAUCAUGAUAAUCGUCGUUCAAUGGUGGACAACAUCGAAGUAGAAACCCGUUGUAAUAAAUAAUUUUACAUUCGAGCUCGUGGAAAGACUGGCAGAUGGCCACGUUCCAGUAAUCGCUGGAAAUAGAUCUACUUGCUUUGAAUUCAGGUCGUUACGAAUAGUAUUAUCGUGCCCUGUAAACAUCAUUGCUAUAUAUGUAUUGACACAAAAUUUAUAAUACAGAAAGAAAAUCGAUAACAUCAAAAUGAA